AAGUCGUAACAAGGUAACCGUAGGUGAACCUGCGGUUGGAUCAUUACUAAACGCUGGGGCGCAAGCCUCAUUGACACCAUGUGAACUUUUCGUAUUUGGCGCUAUUUUCGGAUAGCGCCGAUAACAACCAUAUUCUUUAUAUUGUACAAACUUACAAAUGUAAAACAACUUUUGACAACGGAUCUCUUGGCUCUC
rnacentral:misc_RNA from 1 species